UCACAUGCUCAUCAUAUGAACAGCCCCUCAUAAAGUCAUGAAGUUUCAUGUCCAGUGGGAUUCGUUUCCGCACUGGGAGCAAGCACCACUCGCCGGCUGAGCUCCAGGACGCUGAUGCUGAAAGUUUUGCCAACUUCCACAGUGCCAGAAAGCAUGGAUUGAGAAAACCUUUUAUAAAAGAGAAUGCAUCCAUAUAUUUCCAGCCAAGGACCCAACCCGGUGUGCCUGCGGUUAUCUUGUGAGUCAGCACACUGCCAUUUCAUCAGGAUCCGUAACAAAC